CUGGACUAGAAUGUGAGGGAAGUUCGUCUAAUAGCGAACGUCUGGGAAACCAGACCCAAAACAAGGUGCUGCAUGGCUGUCGUCAGCUCGUGUCGUGAGAUGUUGGGUUAAGUCCCGCAACGAGCGCAACCCUUAUCAACGGUUGCCAUCAUUAAGUUGGGAACUCUGUUGAGACUGCCGUUGAUAAAACGGAGGAAGGUGGGGAUGAUGUCAAGUCAUCAUGGCCUUUAUGUUCAGGGCUACACACGUGCUACAAUGGCCGGUACAAAACGUCGCAAUCCCGUAAGGGGGAGCUAAUCGCAAAAACCGGUCUCAGUUCGGAUUGAAGUCUGCAACUCGACUUCAUGAAGUUGGAAUCGCUAGUAAUCGCGGAUCAGAACGCCGCGGUGAAUACGUUCCC
rnacentral:rRNA from 1 species